rnacentral:rRNA from 1 species
GUGUCAGCCGCCGCGGUAAUACGUAGGUGGCAAGCGUUGUCCGGAUUUAUUGGGUUUAAAGGGUGCGUAGGCGGUCAGAUAAGUCAGUGGUGAAAUACGGCAGCUUAACUGUCGAGGUGCCAAUGAUACUGUUUGACUAGAGUACUGAUGAGGUAGGCGGAAUGGACGGUGUAGCGGUGAAAUGCUUAGAGAUCGUCCAGAACACCGAUAGCGAAGGCAGCUUACUAAGGAGUAACUGACGCUGAGGCACGAAAGUGUGGGGAUCAAACAGGAUUAGAUACCCUGGUAGUCCACACUGUAAACGAUGAUUACUCGAUGUGUGCGAUACACGGCACGCGUCUUAGCAAAAGCGAUAAGUAAUCCACCUGGGGAGUACGCCGGCAACGGUGAA